rnacentral:tRNA from 1 species
AUGGCAGCUGCAGCAAGUGCUGCGAUGCCUGCAGCGACAAGGCCAUGCGUCAAGC